UUUGUCAUAGGUGAGCCUGACCUCUCAGCCAUCUGACAACAAGAGAGCCAGGAAACAGUCGACCCUGUGGCUCCUAAGUCCAUAGGUUCUGGGCAGGCAAAGCCACUCAGUAGACCAAGCCUCAGUAUGAAAUGAUAGCCUGGAAGACCCUGACUUCUGUUCCUGCAGGCAGUCUUCCACCUUCACAUCUGCCUGGGACACUGCAGAGGCGUCUCUCACCCAUGGAUGGGGAAGUCGGUGCUGAAGCAGACGUCUGUCCCAAAGAUCCAGAUCCCACCCCUGCACAUUUUGGCUGAAUCACUUCCCGUCAUUCCAAGCAGAGGAAGAUCCAAAAAUUCUCACCUCCAUAGUUUGAACAGCUAAUUUGCUUUUUGUUCUUGUUGCAAUGAGUACAUUGUCACAGGCAGAAACGCUAGCUCAUACACCAAAUGGAAGAAAAU
rnacentral:lncRNA from 1 species